rnacentral:miRNA from 9 species
UCGCUUGGUGCAGAUCGGGAC